rnacentral:rRNA from 1 species
GGACCCGCACAAGCAGCGGAGCAUGUGGUUUAAUUCGAAGCAACGCGAAGAACCUUACCAAGGCUUGACAUCCCCUUGACAGGUACAGAGAUGUACCAUCAUUUUCGAAUGCAAGGGAGACAGGUGGUGCAUGGUUGUCGUCAGCUCGUGUCGUGAGAUGUUGGGUUAAGUCCCGCAACGAGCGCAACCCUUAUCCUUAGUUGCCAGCAAGUUAAGUUGGGCACUCUAGGGAGACUGCCGGUGAUAAACCGGAGGAAGGUGGGGAUGACGUCAAAUCAUCAUGCCCCUUAUGUCUUGGGCUACACACGUGCUACAAUGGUCGGUACAACGGGAAGCGAAGGAGCGAUCCGGAGCAAAUCCCAAUAAACCGAUCCCAGUUCGGAUUGCAGGCUGCAACUCGCCUGCAUGAAGUCGGAGUUGCUAGUAAUCGCGAAUCAGAACGUCGCGGUGAAUGCGUUCCCGGGUCUU